rnacentral:rRNA from 1 species
GAUGAACGCUGGCGGCGUGCCUAAUACAUGCAAGUCGAGCGAACAGACGAGGAGCUUGCUCCUCUGACGUUAGCGGCGGACGGGUGAGUAACACGUGGAUAACCUACCUAUAAGACUGGGAUAACUUCGGGAAACCGGAGCUAAUACCGGAUAAUAUAUUGAACCGCAUGGUGCAAUAGUGAAAGACGGUUUUGCUGUCACUUAUAGAUGGAUCCGCGCCGCAUUAGCUAGUUGGUAAGGUAACGGCUUACCAAGGCAACGAUGCGUAGCCGACCUGAGAGGGUGAUCGCCCACACUGGAACUGAGACACGGACCAGACUCCUACGGGAGGCAGCAGUAGGGAAUCUUCCGCAGUGGGCGAAAGCUUGACGGAGCAACGCCGCGUGAGUGAUGAAGGUCUUCGGAUCGUAAAACUCUGUUAUUAGGGAAGAACAAAUGUGUAAGUAACUAUGCACGUCUUGACGGUAACGAAUAAGAAAGCCACGGCUAACUACGUG